GACGGAAGGUGCAAGCGUUGCUCGGAAUCACUGGGCGUAAAGGGUGCGUAGGCGGCCCGGUAAGUCCGCUGUAAAAGUCCAGGGCUCAACCCUGGAAAGCCGGUGGAUACUGUCGGGCUCGAGUCCGGAAGAGGCGAGUGGAAUUCCUGGUGUAGCGGUGGAAUGCGCAGAUAUCAGGAAGAACACCCGUGGCGAAGGCGGCUUUCUGGAACGCAACUGACGCUGAGACGCGAAAGCGUGGGGAGCAAACAGG
rnacentral:rRNA from 1 species